rfam:Dipodomys ordii contig_49372, whole genome shotgun sequence.
GAGAAGGUGGCUCAGUGGUAGAGUGCUUGCCUUGCAUGCAUGAGCCCCUGGGUUUGAUUCCUCAAUUCCUCA